GAGGGUGUAGCUCAGUAGUAGAGUGCAUGCCUAGCAUGUACAAGGUCCUGGGUUCAAGCCCCAGUAUCUCCA
rnacentral:tRNA from 1 species